UUGGAUUAUAAUCAUAUGAAGAGAAGUAUUACAUUGAUAGAGUAUAUAAUAAUAGAUAUUAUAAACCAUUAUGAACAUUAAAAUAAGCUUUAUAAAGAUAUGGAUGGCAAUGAUAAACAUAAUCUCAGAUUUAAUUUGCUCAGUGAAAAUAAAGAUGUUUCUUAACGAUGGAUUCAAAUUCUUACUUGCACCUCCAACCAAAAUUAUUUUGCUCAUAAAUAAUCAACAAACUACAUCAUCAGAUUUAAUCUUCUUAUUGCUAGAUGCAUCAUAAUCGUUCCAGUUUCUAAUCAAUCUUCUUGUCAUAGUCAUUCCUGCACUUGCACUUACAACAGACGAAACACGUGUUCUUGGUGAUCAUACAAGCCUUGUAAUAAAAAAAUAGUAAUCAAACACGAGAAUUAACAAGAUUCACAAGUGAAAACAAAUACAAAUUUUUUUUGAGCAUAUACAUGACUUUUUCCUAUGUCAUUUCUUCUUGUAAUCAGAAGCAAAAUACCAAGUUUAGACAAACCCUAAAAACUCCAAACACUUGAACAAACAUUAUAUUAUUUUUCCAACUAUCACAGAUAAUCAUAAUCAACAAAGCUUUAAUAAUUAUAUGAUCACAGGACAUCAUUAUUUUAAUCCUCAAUGCUCAAAAAAUUAAGAAUCACAAUCAAAUUUUGGUUAUUACCCUAAGUUGAUUGCUUAGAAUUACUAGUAAUAACUUUAAAAGCAAAUCCAAACAGCCCUAAAUUGAUAAGUUUAGGGAAAAACAUGAGAGCAACAUUUUUUAGAAAAAAUCUAAAAACAUGUAUGCCAAUUUAGAAUUUUGGUUGAAAGCAAAUUUGAUGUACAAAAACCACAUAUAUACAAUAAAUAAAUGCCAUAACUUUACUUAUAAUAGAAAAACAUGUAUAGAAGAAGAAAACUACUUACAAAGAGGCCGAUGAGGAGUGGUGGUCUCAAAGAAACGCAUCUAAUUCCAAAUGUAGAAACUGCAAAAAAAAAAAUCAUCAAAAUUAAUGAUAUAGGACAGAAAUCAAGAGUUUGAAGGAUAGAAAAUAUAAGGUACUUGCAAUGAUAAGCCUUCCACCAGUAGAUGACAAGUAGAUGACAACUGCAACUCAUAUUCUGAUCUAUUACCAAAAGGGCAUUUACGUCUUUUUGCAUAGUAAUGAAGUAAUAUAAAGUAAUGAGUACUGACCUUGACUUGCUUAAUGAAAGAAACAGCAUUCAACAUUCCACUUCUUGAUAAUCAGACCAAAUUAAAGCGUUAUAAGAAGAGAUUUAGGGAUUUAAAACAUAAUAGGAAGAUAUAAAUCAUAAUUAGAAGAGAUAUAUCUCUGCAUCUACAGUAUUGACACUUCCCUUAUGCAUGAUUUAGAUCUUUAGCAAGCUCAUAUGUAAUCAAUACCAAUCGAAUGUAGUGAUUGCAUGUAAUCAAACCUGAAAACAAAAAGAAAUUCCUCAACAUUUUUAUAUCCCCUUCUUAAUUACAAUUGAGAACAAAUUUGUGGAAAGACUUAUCAAAAACAUCAUAGAAGAUCAACUCCUAACUUAUCAACAAGAGUGUCACCUAAUCAGCAAUCUCAAAUAAAACAUGUUUAGGGCUUACCUUUACACUCGAUUAUAGGCUUCUAAGCUCUUGUACUGUUGAGAUGAAGACCCAAAAAAAACCGAGAAAACACCAAUGGGGAUAUGGGGCUAUUUCGUGAGAAACUCAUUGAAAAAUGUUCUGAUAGGAGAAGGAAGGAGCCUAAUGGCAUCGAUCCUAGAAUUCUUAAUUCCAUCUCAACUCGAUUCGUGAUCUGACUUGGCACAUUAUCCAGAUCGACGGUUUUAUAUUGUUUUCUCCACAAAAUCGUCAGUACCUUGAUUAUGAAGAGAAGUUGUUCAUACUAUUUUCAACCAGCCAAUAGAGGAUGAACAAGGGUUAGGGGAAACACGAUCGACGAUAUGGGCUAAGGCGCGAUGUGGAGGAGCCAGGGUGGAGGGACGGAUAGGUAACGAUGACCCCAUGAGAGAAAAACGAAAUAACGAACCCUAGUGGUUUAGAUUAUGUUGGGGGUAAUGGGAAUUUGGAAACCUGAGCGGGAUGUGAGUUGAUUUUCAAUAUUCAGGAUUGACAUCUUCGAUUGUCGAUAGCAGACGUUUAGAUCGAUGGUGCAAUGGAGAACGCGAACAUUGAAGAUAAUAGAUAUUAGGUUUAAAGAGGAGGGAAUUACUAAAUCUAAAAAAUUUCACGUAGAGGGAAUCUGAAACUUUU
rnacentral:lncRNA from 1 species